rnacentral:rRNA from 1 species
ACCUGCCGUUGAGAUGGGGACAACAUCCCGAAAGGGGUGCUAAUACCGAAUGUUGUGGAAGUCUCGCAUGGGACAUCCACUAAAGAUGACCUCUAUUUAUAAGUUAUCGCUCAACGAUGGGCCUGCGUCUGAUUAGCUAGUUGUGGGGCAACGGGCCUACCAAGGCGACGAUCAGUAGCCGGUCUGAGAGGAUGAACGGCCACAUUGGAACUGAGACACGGUCCAGACUCCUACGGGAGGCAGCAGUGGGGAAUCUUCCGCAAUGGGCGAAAGCCUGACGGAGCAACGCCGCGUGAGUGAAGAAGGCCUUCGGGUCGUAAAGCUCUGUUGAAGGGGACGAAUGUCAGGACUAUCAACAACGGUUUUGAAUGACGGUACCUUUCGAGGAAGCCACGGCUAACUACGUGCC